rnacentral:rRNA from 1 species
UACAGAGGGUGCAAGCGUUGCUCGGAAUCAUUGGGCGUAAAGGGUAGGUAGGUGGUCUUAUUUGUCAGGGGUGAAAGCCUUGGGCUCAACCUAAGAAGUGCCCCUGAAACGGUAGGACUAGAGUCUUGGAGAGGUGAGUGGAAUUCCCGGUGUAGCGGUGAAAUGCGUAGAGAUCGGGAGGAACACCAGAGGCGAAAGCGGCUCACUGGACAAGCACUGACACUCAACUACGAAAGCGUGGGUAGCAAAC